UACGUAGGUGGCAAGCGUUGUCCGGAUUUACUGGGCGUAAAGAGCGCGCAGGCGGUUGAUUAAGUCGAAUGUGAAAGCCCCCGGCUCAACUGGGGAGGGUCAUUCGAUACUGAUCGACUUGAAGGCAGGAGAGAGAAGUGGAAUUCCCGGUGUAGUGGUGAAAUGCGUAGAUAUCGGGAGGAACACCAGUGGCGAAGGCGGCUCUCUGGGACGGUACUGACGCUGAGACGCGAAAGCGUGGGGAGCGAACAGG
rnacentral:rRNA from 1 species